rnacentral:lncRNA from 1 species
UUGAGAAAGAGUGGGGUGGGUAAUACACCUCUCCGGCCUCAAACUAUUUCUUCACCAGGGCAGUAUUUGCCAACCACACCCCUCUGCCUUCAUCACCUCCUGCUUGUCUGGACCCAUCAGCUGCUAGCCCACUUCCUGUGCGGCUCAGUCCCUGGAGAAAGCGGGACCCCACAGCAAGAUGAGUGUCUGAGAAAUGCACAGCC